rnacentral:lncRNA from 1 species
AAAUGCUGUGUAAAAGUGUAGGCUCAUAAGGUGGACAAGAGGAAAAAAGAAUUGGUAUUUAACUUAGGAUCUGAAGAGCAAAGAACAUUUUAGGCUGAAGAAAUAAUAGAAAAAGAUGGGUAAAGAAGAAUACAAGUAGAUUUUGGGAUGUGUCUGCAAAUGGAAGUGUGGAAUACAUAGAAGAACACUAAAUAGGAAUCAACAGAAAGGGAG